rnacentral:rRNA from 1 species
CCUACGGGAGGCAGCAGUGGGGAAUCUUGGACAAUGGGCGCAAGCCUGAUCCAGCCAUGCCGCGUGAGUGAUGAAGGCCUUAGGGUCGUAAAGCUCUUUCGCCAGAGAUGAUAAUGACAGUAUCUGGUAAAGAAACCCCGGCUAACUCCGUGCCAGCAGCCGCGGUAAUACGGAGGGGGUUAGCGUUGUUCGGAAUUACUGGGCGUAAAGCGCACGUAGGCGGAUCAGAAAGUAUAGGGUGAAAUCCCAGGGCUCAACCCUGGAACUGCCUUGUAAACUCCUGGUCUUGAGUUCGAGAGAGGUGAGUGGAAUUCCGAGUGUAGAGGUGAAAUUCGUAGAUAUUCGGAGGAACACCAGUGGCGAAGGCGGCUCACUGGCUCGAUACUGACGCUGAGGUGCGAAAGUGUGGGGAGCAAACAGGAUUAGAUACCCUGGUAGUCCACACCGUAAACGAUGAAUGCCAGACGUCAGCAAGCAUGCUUGUUGGUGUCACACCUAACGGA